UACGUAGGGCGCAAGCGUUGUCCGGAAUUAUUGGGCGUAAAGAGCUCGUAGGCGGUUUGUCGCGUCUGUCGUGAAAGCCCACGGCUUAACUGUGGGUCUGCGGUGGAUACGGGCUGGCUAGAGGCAGGCAGGGGAGAACGGAAUUCCUGGUGUAGCGGUGAAAUGCGCAGAUAUCAGGAGGAGCACCGGUGGCGAAGGCGGUUCUCUGGGCCUGUACUGACGCUGAGGAGCGAAAGCGUGGGGAGCGAACAGG
rnacentral:rRNA from 1 species